ensembl:snRNA U6 U6 spliceosomal RNA
AUCUCCCUUCUGCAGCAUAUUUACUAUAGUUGGAACCAUACAGAGAUUGGCAUGACCCUUGUGCAAGGAUGACAGGCAAAUUCCUGAAGUGUUCCAUAUUUUU